rnacentral:lncRNA from 1 species
AGUGCUGUCGGGAAGGCCACUGGAGUCAUACGCAAGGUCCUCCAGGCCUGGGCCUCCAGCCACCUCCUGUCAGAGCUAAUCAAGCCAGCACCAACUCAGCAACUCCCUGGACAGACCCUCCAGGAGCAACUGAAAGCCUCUCAGUAGAGAACUGCCCUUGCUACCCUCAGACUAAUAAAGGAGGAAAGACCCUAAGUGCCUUAUCCACACCUCCAACAAGCUGCAGUUAAUCCAAGGAGAGGCCAGUCUGUCUCCCACGGGUCCCACACCAUCCUCCCUCCAUGGCUAGUCACCAGACAGGGAAUCUCUGGCUUGGGCUCACAGCACAGACCCUCCAUCUUGGGCUGACUGUACUGAGUGAUUGCUAACCUGCAUCUUCCUGGGGUGGAGCCCCCAGGAGUCAAUAAAAUGACCCUUGGCCACACCACCACUAAGAUCUCUUCCUCUAUGGCCUCUAAGCUGAGGAAGGAAUAUAAACACUGAGAUUGCCCCAGAGCUGCAGUGAGCAGCCCAGAAGUGCCAAGUCACGAACUACAGCCAGAACUAAAGGGUGGAGAGGUAUCCACACUUUCAGAGCACUAAGAGGUAAAACAGCUCCAACUGUGAGGAAACAUAGGGAAACCACCCAACCAAGCAAGAGUCUACCAACUGACCAAUAGGCCUAAGUGUCACCUUCUGGAUCACACUCCAAAGCUUCAACACCAAAAAUAUCUCACUAACAUAACCCCUUCUGAAACCAGAGACAAGAAGUCAGCUUCAAAUAAAGACCCUCACAAAGCCUUGGCCUAGUGAAAACAUCCAGAAAAGAAGUCUAUUUGACUGUAUUCAUCUACACUACAGUUAAAGGAACACCCACAUGCAGAGAUGAGAAAGAAUCAAUGCAAGAACUCUAGUAACUCAAAUGGCCAGAGCGUCCUACAUCCUCCAAAUAACAGCACCAGUUCUCCAACAAGAGCUCUUAACCAAGCAAGCUCGAACUUGCUGGAAUGACAGAAAUAGAAUUCAGAAUAUGGAUAGGAAUGAAGAUCAUCAAGAUUCAGGAGGAUGGCAAAACCCAAUCCAAGGAAAAUAAGAAUCACAUUAAAGUGAUACAGAAGUUGAAGGAUAAAACAGCCAGUAUAAGAAAAGAACCUAAUGAGUCUGAAAGAGCUAAAUAACACAAUACAAGACAUUCACAAUUCAAUCACAAGUAUUAACAGCAGAAUAAACCAAGCUAAGGGAAGAAUCUCAGAACUUGAAGACUGGCUUUCUGAAACAAGACAGUCAAAAAUAAGGAAAAAAAAAAAACUAAAAAGGAAUGAACAAAACCUCCAAAAAAGUAUGAGAUUAUAUAAAGAGGCAAAAUCCACAAAUCAAUGGCAUCCCUGAAAGGGAGGAGGAGAAAGCAAACAACUUGGAAAACAUAUUUCAGGAUAUCAUCCAUGAAAAUUUCCCCAACCUUGCUAAAGAGGCCAACAGUCAAAUUCAGGAAAUACAGAGAACUCCUGCAAGAUUCUACACAAGAAGAUCAUUCCCAAGACACAUAAUUGUUAGAUUUUCAAAGGUCAAAAUGAAAGACUGUUAAAGGCAGCUAGAGAGAAAGGGCAGGUUACCUACAAAGGGAUCCCCAUCAGGCUAACAGUGGACCUCUCAGCUGAAACCCUACAAGCCAGAGAGAUUGAGGGCCUAUAUUUAACAUUCUUAAAGAAAAAAAUCUUCAACCAAGAACUUCAUAUGCAGCCAAACUAAACUCCCUAAGUGAUGGAGAAAUAAGAUCCUUUUCAGAUAAGAAAAUGUUGAAGGACUUCAUUACCACCAGAUCUGUCUUACAAGAGAUCUUGAGAGAAGCACUAAAUAUAAAAAGGAAAGAUCACUACCAGCUAAUCCAAAAAUACAUGUAAACACACAGACCAGUGUCACUGUAAAGCAGCCACACAGUAAGCCAACAUAAUAACCAGCUAACAGCACAAUGACAGGAUCAAAUCCACACAUAUUAAUAUGAACCUGGAAAGUAAACAAGCUAAAUGCCCCACUUAACAGGCAUAGAGUGAGAAACUGGAUAAAAAAGAAACAUCUAUGGUAUGUAUGCUGUCUUCAAGAGACCCAUCUCACAUGUAAUGACAAAAUAAAGGGAUGGAGAAAAAUCUACCGAGCAAAUGAAAAACAGAAAAAAGCAGGGGUUGCAAUCUUACUUUCAGACAAAACUCAUUUCAGAUCACAAAGAUCAAAAAAGACAAGGAAGGGCAUUACAUAAUGAUAAAGGUUUCAAUUCGACAAGAAGGCCUAACUAUCCUAAAUAUAUAUGCACCCAACACAGGAGCACCCAGUUUUAUAAAGCAAGCUCUUAGAGACCUACAAAGAGACAUAGGCUCCCACACAGUAAUAGUGGGAGACUUCAGCAGUCCACUGACAGCAUUAGAUGGAACAUCCAGGCAGAAAAUUAACAAAGACAUUCAGGAUGGUAACUCAGCAUUGGACCAAACGGAUCCAAUAGACCUUUACAGAAGGUUCUACCCAAAACAACAGAAUAUACAUUUAUCUCAUCACCACAUGACACAUACUUUAAAGUCAACCACAUAAUUGGACAUAAAACAAUCCUCAACAAAUAGAACCAAAAUCAUACCAAACACAUUCUCAGACCACAGUGCAAUAAAAAUACAAGUCAACACACUGAAAAUUGCUCAAAAUCAUACAAUUACAUGGAAAUUAAACAACGUGCUACUGAAUGACUUCUGGGUAAAUAAUGAAGUUAAGGCAGAAAUCAAUAAGCUCUUUUAAAAUAAUGAGAACAAAGAUACAACAUAUCAGAAUCUCUGGGACACAGCUAAGGCAGGGUUAAGAGAGAAAUUUAUAGCACUAAAUGCCCACAUCAAAAAGCUAAAAAAAAAAUCUCAAAUUAACAACUUAACAACUGAAAGAAUCAAAGAAGCGAGAACAAAUUAACCCCAAAGCUAGCAGAAGAUGAGAAAUAACAAAAAUCAGAGUUGAACUGGAGGAAAUCAAGACAGAAAAAUAUUCAAAAGAUCAACAAAUCCAGGAGUUGUUUUUUUGAAAAAAAAUCAAUAAAAUAGGCCACUACCUAGCCUACUUAAGAAGAAAAGAGAGAAGAUUCAAAUAAACACAAUUAGAAGUAAUGAAGCAAAUGUUACAACUGACCCCACAGAAAUGCAAACAAUCAUCAGAAACUACUAUGAACAUUUCUAAACACACAAACUAGAAAACCUAGAAGAGAUGGAUAAAUUCCUGAACACAUACACCCUCCCAAGACUGAGCCAGGAAGAAAUUGAUUCCCUGAACAGACCAAUAAUGAGCUCUGAAAUUGAAUCAGUAAUAGCCUACCAACAAAAAAAAAAGCCCAGGACCUGAUAGAUUCACAGCCGAUUUCUAUAAGGUGUACAAGGAAGAGCUGGUACUAUUCCUACAGAAACCAUUCCAAAAAAUUGAGGAGAAGGAACUUCUCUGCAACUAUUUCUAUGAGGCCAGCAUCAUUUGAUACCAAAACCCAGCAGAACACAACAAAUAAAGAAAACUUCAGGUCAGUACCCUUGAUGAACAUCAGUGCAAAAAUUCUCAAUAAAACACUUGCAAACCAAAUCCAGCAGCACAUCAAAAAGCUAAUUCACCACAAUCAAGUAGGCUUAAUCCCCAGGAUGGAAGGUGGGUUUGACACACAAAUCAAUAAAUGUGAUCCAUCACAUAAACAGAACUAAAGACAAAAACCACAUGAUUAUCUCAAUAUAUGCAGAAAAGGCUUUUGAUAAAAUCUAACAUCCCUUCAUGUUAAAAAAACUCUCAACAAACUAGGUAUUGAAGGACCAAACCUCAAAAUAAUAAGAGCCAUCUAUGACAAACCCACAACCAACAUUAUACAAAAUAAACAUAAGGUGGAAGGGUUCACCUUGAAAACUGGCGCAAGACAAGGAUGCCUUCUCUCACCACUUCUAUUCAACGUAGUAUUGGGAGUCCUAGUCAGAGUAAUCAGGCCAGAGAAAGAAAUAAAGGACAUCCAAAUAGGAAGAGAGAAAGUCAAACUAUCUCUGUUUGCAGAUGACAUUAUUCUAUAUCUAAAAAGCCCCAUAGUCUCAGCCCAAAAAGCUCUUUCAACUGAUAAACAACUUCAGCAAAGUUGCAGGAUAAAAAAAUCAAUGUACAAAAAUUACUAUUAUUCCUAUACAACUACAACAACCAAACAGAACCAAAUCAGAAUGGCAAUCCCAUUCACAAUUGCCAUACACACACACAAAAUAAAAUACCUAGGAAUACACCUAACCAGGAAAAUGAAAGAUCUCUACAAUGAAACUUACAAAACACUGUUCAAAUAAAUCAGAGAAGACACAAGCAAAUGUAAAAGCAUCCCCUUCUCAUGGAUAGAAAGAAUCAAUAGUAUUAAAAUGUCUACAGUGCCCAAAGCAAUUUACAGAUUCAAUGCUAUUCCUAUAAAAAUACCAAUGACAUUCUUCAUAGAACUAGUAAAAAUAUUUUAAAAUUUAUAUGGAACCAAAAAAGAGCCUGAAUAGCCAAGGCAAGCCUAAGCAGAGGAGGAAUCACAUUACCUGACUUCAAACUAUACCACAAAGCUACAAUGACCAAAACAGCACGUUACUGGUACAAAAACAGACACACAGACCAAUGGAACAGAAUAGAGAGCCCAGAAAUAAGGCUGAACAUCUACAACCAUUUGAUCUUUAACAAAGCUGACAAAAACAAGCAAUGGAGGAAAGACCUUAUUCAAUAAAUGGUGCUGGGAUAACCAGCUAGCCAUAUGCAGAAGAUUGAAGAUGGACGCAUUCCUUAUGCCAUAUACAAAAAUCAUCUCAAGAUGGAUUAAAGACUUAAAUGUGAAACCCAAAACUAUAAAAACCCUGAAAGACAACCUAGGCAAUGGCAUACUGGACUCAGGAAUAGGCAAAGAUUUCACGACAAAGACACCAAAAGAAAUCACAACAAAAGCAAAAAUUGACAAAUGGGAUCUAAUUAAAUUUAAGAGCUUCUGCAUUGCAAAAGAAACUAUCAGCAGAGUAAACAGACAACCUACAGAAUGGGAGAAAAAUAUUUGCAAACUAUGCAUCUGACAAAGGUCUAAUAUCCAGCAUCUUUAAAAAACUUAAUGAUAUUUACAAGAGAAAAACAAACAACCCCAUUAAAAAGUGAGCAAAGGACAUGAACAGACACUUCUCAAAAGAAGACAUACAUGCAAACAACAAACAUAUGAAAAAAAGCUCAAUAUCACUCAUCAUUAGAGAAAUGCACAUAAAAACCACAAUGAACUACCAUCUCACACCAGUCAGAACGGCUAUUGUUAAAAAGUCAAAACAUAACAGAUGCUGGUGAGGUUGUGGAGAAAAGGGAACCUUUACACACUGUUGAUGGGAGUGUAAAUUAGUUCAACCAUUGUGGAAAGCAGUAUGGUGAUUCCUCAAAGAGCUAAAAGCAGAACUACCAUUUAACCCAGCAGUCCCAUUACAGGGUAUAUACCCUGAGGAAUAUAAAGCAUUCCACCAUAAAGACACAUGCAUGCAAAUGUUCAUUGCUGCACUGUUCACAAGAGCAAAGACAUGGAAUCAACCUAAAUGCUCAUCAAUGACAAAUUGGAUAAAGAAAAUGUGGUAGAUAUACACCAUGGAAUAUUAUGCAGCCAUAAAAAAGAAUGAGAUUAUGUCCUUUGAGGGAACAUGGAUGGAGCUGGAAGCUAUCAUCCUUAGCAAACUAAUGCAGCAAGAGAAAACCAAAUACUGCAUGUUCUCACUUAUAAGUAGGAGCUAAAUGAUAAGAACUUGUGAACACAAAGAAGGAAACAACAAAUACUGGGGUCUACUUGAGGAGGGAGAAGAGCAGAAAAGAGAACUAUUAGGUGCUAAGCAUAAUAUAAUACCUGAGUGACAUAACAACAACAAACAAACCCCUGUGACAUGUGUUUAUCUAUGUAACUGUGAACCCCAAAAACCUGAGACAGGUCUCAUUUAAUUUUAAAAAGUUUAUUUUGCCAAGGUUGAGGCCACACACCUGUGACACAGCCUCAGGAGGUCCUGACACCAUACGCCCAAGAUGGUCAGAGCACAGUUUGGUUUUACACAUUCUAGGGAGACAUGAGACAACAAUCAACAUAUUCAAGAUGGACAUUGAUUCGAUCUGGAAAGAUGGGACAACUCAAAGGCAGGAAAACUCAAAUCAGGGAGGAGGCUAGGUCAUAGGUAGCUAAGAGACAAAUGGUUGCAUUCUUUUGAGUUUCUGAUUAGCCUGUCCAAAGGAGGCAAUAAGAUAUGCAUUUAUCUCAGUGAGCAGAGGGGUGACUUUGAAUAGAAUGGGGGGCAGGUUGGCCCUAAGCAGUUCCCAGCUUGACUUUUCCCUUUAGCUUAGUGAUGUGGGGGCCCAAAGAUCUAUUUUCCUUUCACAUAGCAAACCUUCAUAUGUACCUCCAAACCUUAAAUAUUUUGAAAAAAAAUUUAGAGGUCUCUUCCGCAAUUCUGGGACCACAAAUGCCAGAAAACUUCCAAAUACUUCACCCUCACAAAAGUAUGAGCUUUAAGAUCUGGACUUUGCCCUACUGGAUAUCUCCAUUCCAUUCUAAGAAAUAGGAAGGAAUUGCUAAAAUAUGAGGGGUUUCUGACAAUAAACCUCAAUAUAAUCAGUGAAUACUUCCUGAGCACCUGCCUUUUGUCAUGCUCUGGUCAAGGAACUGAGUGUAGAGAUGAAUAUAAAAUGUAAUCUCUGACAUCAGUGAUUUCAUUAGGUAGCACAGGACACUAAGCCAGUAUCUGCCACUUUAUCAGCCUUCCAGCUAUGUCUGCUCUAGCCUUUAAAUCAGAGUGUGUCCAGAUAAUAAAUCAAAUGUUUACACGUGUGGAAGGAAAGAGUACCAGUAGGGAUUUUUUUUACUCUUAAUCACUCAUUUGAGCACACAUAGUACCUGGAAAGAAAAAAGAAAUCUCUUUUCUGUCUUUGCAUCACCAGAAAUUUGCCUUGCAGGAUCUGGUAUAGUCUAGCUGGCCAGGGGAUAAUGGUGGUUUGGGUUGGAAGAGGAGGAAGGGUUUCCUCCGUAGUUUAGGUUUGCUUCAGUUUCACCAGUGAUUGUUCUCAAAGGUCCCGAUAACAGAACCUCUCAACAUCUUUCCCCUAAAGAAACUAUGAUAACCUUGUAUCUUUAUGACAUGACCACUUACGCAUCCCAAUAAAACUGAGAGAAAUAAUAGCUUUCUUUAACGCUUCUCUAAGAGAACUCUUGUCUACUCUCAUUGACUCCCAGAUAUACAUCUCUAUCCCAGAUCCUUCUCCUGAUCACCAGACCUAUAAUGACUGGUGGACACCUCUAUGUGACUGUCAUGUGGCUGCUUAAAGUUCACCAUGCCAUAGACUGAACUCACUGUUUCUACCCCACCUUGAUCUUUCUAUUCUCGGUGACUAGCCGCAUUGUUCACUGGUUCCAUCCUCUUCCUCAUUCUUUAUUCAGUACUCUUCAUUUCCUAUGAAAUAACCCCAUAAUGCCCUACUGACUUCUUGUAUUCAUCCACUUCUUUCAAUCACCACUAGCACUACUUUGGUUCAGUCCACUGCUCUCUUUUGGAUUGUUGCUAUUCUCCCAAUUAGUGUCUCCACUUCUAGUCUUACCUGCUCUAGUCCAGUCUCCAAAGUCAUUUUUAUAAUUUAAAAAUCUGAGUAUGUAUCCUCCAUUUGAAGCACUUUAAUAGGACCCCCUUUAUCUUCAAAUAAAGUCCUUCACAUAAAUCACCACGCUUUCAUUAUAUGACCUGUUCAUCUCUCCAGCUUCACAUAGUGACACUCCCCACCUUAUUGUCCAUAAUCCAUACUAUUCCAAUUGUAGUUCUCCCAGUGGAAAAAAAAAAUUCUAUUGCCUCUGGAAUUUUUCACAUGCUGGCCAAAAUAUUUAUUCUUUGUCUUUUUUAUCUGUGCUCUCUCCCAGUUCCACUUUCCUUUUUUCCUGCUUACUCUUGCAAAAAAAAUCCUCCCUGAUACCUAGAGGACUACAUCUGUGUUGGUGUCUCUGAAAUUUACUCCCAUAGGGUGCUUGACUUACCCAAUAUUGUAGCCCAAACCCACUGAACUGACUGUAAAUGCUUUGGAAGGUGAACCAUGACAUGUUUGUUGUUAAUUUCCUGAUGACUAACAUACAGGAUGGCACAGAAUCAGACAUCAAGAAAGAUGAAUCAAAAGAGAAUGACAUCAGUAAGAUGGCAGAGUAGGAAGCCCUGGACCCUCCUUCUACCUACAAACACAAAUUCAGCAACAAUUUAUGGACAAAUUCCCUUUGUGAGAAAUCAAAAACUAAUUAAAAAGCUCCUGCACUCUGGAACAGCAUAAAAACAGACAUAGCAAAGCCUGUGGACAGAUUCAGGAUACUGUCUUGUCAGAGACCCUUGCCCCCAGUGCAGGGCCAUACAUUCAGGAAGAAACCCUGUAGCUUCCAGCUUCAUGCAGUCGAGGUAAGGAGCUGGUUGCACAUUCAGCACCCCAACAUUUCCAAGGGAGUCCCCAGAGGUUUGCCUUCUUUCUUGCUAGACCUGGUGCUCUAAUGGGUCUGGUAUAGUCUAGCUGGCCAGGGGAUAAUGGAGGUGGUGGCUUGGGUUGGUAGACAACAUUGAUUUCCUUCUCCCCCAACUCCAGUUGGCACAGAGUGAGCAGAUGAAAACUUUCAGCCCUCAGCUUCCCCCAGGGAGGAAAAGAGCUGAUCUGUGCAACCAGAGCUCCAACUUCUCCAGGGCUGCUCAAACUAUUGGCAUCUGUUUCACCAGUCUUGAAGCUCUGAUGUGUGCAGUACAGUCUAACUACCCAGGAGAGAACAAAUAUGCCAAUUUGGGUUGGUAGAUGCUAUAGUUUGACCACCCCACUCCACUCUCCAGCUCAGCACAGAAAGAGUGAACAAAGCCAUAGCUCCUGCUUCUCCCUGGGGAAGUAAAGAGGUAGUAGAUGUCCAUAAGAAUCACUGGCUGGGCUGAUGGGGGGUUGGGGGUGUAUUUUCCUGUAUGAAGCCAGUUCAUGAAGACUGUGAUAGCUGCCUGUUUUGUCUAAUAACCCUCGGAUAUCAACACAGGGAGUCAAGGAAAUUAAAUAAUUGGGCAAAGAUAUUUUUAAAAAGGGAAUUAAGAUACAUUUCCAAAGACUAACCCUAAUGAACUGGAGUUACAACUUCAUGAAGAUGUGGACUGAGUCAGUAAAACAUGCAUUUAAAAAGUGAGGAUUUCAACAGAGAGAUAAAACAUAUUUUAAAGUGCCAAAUAGAAAUAGAAAUGCAUAAUAGAUGAGCCAAAUAUUCACUGGAGGGGUUCAACAGCAGACUAGAUCAUGCAGCAGAAAGGAUCAGUGAACCCAAGCACAGGUCACUAGAAAUAAUUCAGUCAAAGAAACAAUAAGAAUUAAAAGAAAAAAUGGAGAAACUUAAGGGACUUAUGGAUCACCAUCAAGUGGGCCAACAUACAUAUUAGGGAUAUUUUAGAAGGAGGAGAGAGAAAGGACCAGAAAGAUUGUUCAAAGAAAUAAUGGCUGAAAACUUACCAAAUCUUGGGAAGAAAAUGGACAUUCAGAUCUAAGAAAUUCAAAAGACACCAAAUAAGAUAAACCCAAAGAAAUACAUACAAAUUUGUAAUCAAGUUGUUAAAAGUCAAAGACAAAGAGAACUUUAAAAACAGCAAGAGAAAAGUGACUUGUCACGUACAAGAGAACUCUAUAAGACUACCGGUGGGUUUUUAAGCAGAAAGUUUUCAGGUCAGAAGGGAGUGGGAUCAUAUAUUCAAUAUGCUGAAAAAAAACUGUCAGUGAAGAAUACUAUACUCAAAAAAUUUUUCUAUAAAAGUGACACAGAGUAGGAGGAUUCUGGAAAGGUGGUAGAGUAGGAAGCACUAGGAAUAGUAAUCUGUUUCCCCAUCUACACAAAAAUUACCCUGGACUAAUCUGUCUAAUGUAAUUAUUUUGGAACUCCAAAGUUCAUUGAAGGCUUGCAACUUCCAGCAGAAGGUUUGGAUGAUAAAUAUGGUUAAUGUCAGUCAAUUUCAGCUCUUAACACAGUAACAGCUACCCAUCUCCACCCAUACUCUCUCCCCGUGGGAGGUAGCCAGCACAUGAUCCUGGAGUAACUUUCACAAAGCUUUUGGGAGUCAUGGUACCAAAUAUCUGGUAUCUGUGCUGUGAUUUCUGAUUGCUGCUUCUGAUCACAACAGCGUAGACAAGGAGGUAGUGGCUAUUGUUGGACUUCCCUCCAUUGUUGCAAGCCCCAUCCUUUCUGGAUAAAGUGACUUCCAGGGCAUGUCACUAAUCAUCUGGGAAGUGCAUACUAAACCACAUUAAAAUGUCACCUCACACCUGCUAGAAUGACUAUUAUCCAAAAAAAAAAAAAAUAUAUAUAUAUAUAUAUAUGUAUAUACACACAUAUAUAUAAAACAAGUGUUGGUGAGGAUGUGGAAAAAUUGGAACCAUUUUACAUGGUUGGUGGAAACAAAUUAAUACAGGCAUUAUGAAAACAAUAUGGAGACCUAAAAAAAUUAAAAACAGAGCGAUCACAUGUUUCAGCAAUCCCACUACUGAGUACAUGUCCAAAGGAAAGAAAAUCAGUAUGUCAAAGGAGUAUCUGCAUUCCCAUGUUCAUUGCCGCACUAUUCACAAUAGCCAAGGUAUAAAAUUUACCUAAGUGUUCAUCAGUAGAUAAAUGGAUAAUGAAAAUAUGGUGUAUAUACACAAUGGAAUAUUAUUCAGCCUUAAAAAGAAGAAAAUUACAUCAUUUGUAAUAAAAUGGAGGAAGCUGGAAGACAUUACAUUAAGUGAAAUAAGCCAGUCACAGAAAGACAAACACUGCAUGAUAUUACUUAUAUGUAGAGUGUAAGAAAGUCAAACUCAUAGAAACGGAGAGUAAAAUGGUGGUUUCCAGAGGCUGAGGGGUGGAGAAAAUUAGGAAGAUGUUAGUCAAAACACACAAAAUUUCAGUGAGACAGCAGGAAUAAGUUCAAGAGAUUUAUCAUACAUCACAGAGACUACAGUUAAUAACAAUAUAUUGUAUACUUGAAAAUUGCUAAGAGAUUAAAGUGUUCUCAUCACAAAAAAAAUUAUAAGUAUGUGAGGUAAUGCAUAUGUUCAAUAGCUUGAUUUAGCCAUUCCCUAAUGAAUACAUAUAUCAAAACAUAGUGUUGUACACCAUAAAUAUUUAUAAUUUUUACUUGUUAAUUAAAAUAUUUUUUAAAAGAAAAGACAUUCUGACAUAUGCUACAAAAUAAAUCAACCUGAAAACGUUAUGCUAAGUGAAAUAAACCAGUCACAAAGACAACUAUUGUAGGUUUCAAUUUAUAUGGAGUAUUUAAAGUAGUCAAAAUCAUAGAGACAUAAAGUAGAAUGGUGGUUGCCAGGGGCUAGGGAGUGAAGGGAAUGGGGAGUUAUUGUUUAAUGGGUAUAGAGUUUCAGUUUUGCAAGAUUAAAAGUGUUCUGGAAAUGAAUAGAUGAUGAUAGAUGUACAACAAUAUGAGUGUACUUAAUACCACUGAAUGUACACUAAAAAUGGUUAAGAAGGUAAAUUUUAUGUUACAUGGAUUUUAACACAAUAAAAAAUUGAAAAAAAUAAAAGUAGGUAUAAAGACUUUCCCAGACAAACAAAAGUUCAGAGAGUUCAUCUUCAGUAGACCUGCCUUACAAGAAAUGGUAGAGUUCUUAGAGUUGAAACAAAAGGACACUAACCAGUAACAUGAUAGCAUAAGAAAAAGUAGAAAACUCAUUGGUAAAGGUAAAUAUGUAGACAAAUACAGAAUACUGCAUUACUGUAAUGGGGUGGAAAAUCACCCCAUUAAUUCUAGCAUAAAAGCUAAAAGACAAAGUAUGAAAAAUAAAUAUAACUAAAACCAUGAUAAAAGAUAUACAAUAUGAAUACACAUAAAUUGUGACAAGAAUAAUAUAUGAGGGGUUAAAGUGUAGAGUAUGUGAUUGAACUUAAGUUGUUAUCAGCUUAAAAUAGACUGCUAUAACCAUAUUUUAUGUAAGCCCCAAAGUAUGUAUGUAACCACAAAGAAGAUUUUUUAUGUAACCACAAUAAAGUCCCUAUAGAAAUUACACAAAGAAAAUAAAGAAUAAAAUCAAGCAUAUUAUCUUAGUUUAUUUGGGCUGCUAUAACAAAAUACCUUAGACUUGGCAAUUUACAAAUAACAGAAAUUUAUUGCUCACAGUUCUGCGGACUAGAAAGUCUGAGAUCAAGGCAUCAGCAGAUUCAGUGUCUGGUGAUGUGUCAGUCUCUGCUUCAAAGAUGAUGCUUGCUCACUGCACCCUCACAUAGUAGAAGGGGUGAAUAAGCUCCCUUAGGCCUCUUUUACAAAGGCACUAAUCCAUUCAUUAGGGUGGAGCCCUCAUUAUCCAAUCAUCUCCCAAAGGCUCCACACUUUAAUAUUAUUGAAUUGGGUAUUAGGAUUCAACAUAUAAAUUUUGGAGGGAAACAAACAUUCAGAUCAUAGCACAUAUUAAUGCAAAAACUUUACAAAACAUAAAGAAAGACAGCAAGAGAGAAAAAGAAAAGGGAACUACAAGACUGAGAGAAAACAACUAGUAAAUGCCUAUAGUAAAUCCUUUCCUAUCAAUAUUACUUUAAAUGUAAAUUGAUUAAAUUCCCCCAAUCAAAAGACAAACAGUGAGUAAUGGACUUUUUUUAAAGACCCAACUAUGUGCUGCCUACAAGAAACUCACUUUAGAUAUAAAAACACACAUAAGUUGAAACUGAAGCCAAGAAAAAAGUAUUCCAUGCAUAUGGUAAUCAAAAGAGAGUAGGAGUGGCUGUACUUAUAUCAGAAAAAUAGACUUGAAGUCAAAAAUUGUCAAAAGAGACAAAGAAGGACAUUAUAUGAUGAAAAGGGUCAGUCCAUAGGCUGUAAUACCAAUAUAAGAGCACUUAAAUAUAUAAAAUAUUGACAAAACUGAAGGGAAAAACAGACAGCAAUACAAUAAUAGUAGAAUUCAGUACCCUACUUUCAAUAAUGAACAGAAUAUCCACACAGAAGAUCAAUAAACAGAGGACCUCAAUCGCAUUAUAAAACAAAUGGACCUAACAGACAUGUACAGAACAUUCCAUCCAACAGCAGCAUAAUACACAUUAUUUUCAAGUACACAUGAUUCUUUCUGCAGAGCAGGUCACAUGUUAGGUCACAAAAUAAGUCAACAAAUUUAAAAAGAUUGAAAUCUUACCAAAGAUUGACCAUUAUGGUCAACCUUUUCUGACCACGAUGGAAUGAAACGAGAAAUCAGUAGCAGAAGGAAAACUGAAAAAUUCACAGAUAUAUGGAAACUAAACAACAUACUUAUAAACAACAAUUGAGUUACGAGGAAAUCAAAAGGAAAUUAGAAAAUAUCUCAAUACAAAUAAAAAUGAAAACACAACAUACCACUGCCUAUAGGGUAUAGCAAAAGCAGUAGUAAGAGAGAAGUUUAUGGUGAUGAACAUCUACAUUACAAAAGACAAAAUGUCUCAAAUAAACAACCUAACUUUAUACCUCAAGGAACUAGGAAAAAACAAUAAAUUAGUUCCAAAGUUAGCAGAAGGUAGGAAAUAACAGAUUAUUACCCAGAAAUAAAUGAGAGAGAAAAUAUAAAAACAAUAGAAAAAAAUCAAUGAAACUGAGAGUUGGUUUUUUAAAAGAUAAAUAAAAGUGACAAACUUGUAGCUAGACUAAGAAAAAACACUCAAAUAAAUAAAAUCAGAACUGGAAAGAGGAAACAUUACAACUCUUGCCACAGAAAUAAAAAGGAUCCUAACAGACUGCUAUGAACAAUAUCCAACAAACUGGAUAACCUAGAAGAAAUGAUAAAUUCCUAGAAACAUAUAACCUACCAAUACUAAACCAUAAGGAAAUAUAAAGUCAAAACCGACACAUAACUAGUAUGGAGAUUGAAUCAGUAAUCAAAAACCUCCCCAAAAAUCAAGCUCAAUACCUGUAGAGUCACUGGUAAACUCUAUCAAACAUUUAAAGAAGAAUUAAUGCCACUCCUUCUCAAACUCUUCCAAAAAAUUAAAGAGGAGAGAACACUUCCAAACUUAUUUUAUGAGGCUAGCAUUACCUUGAUUCCAAAGCCAGACAAAGACAACACAAGAAAGAAAACCUACAGGCCAAUAUUCUCAAUGAAUAUAGAUGCAAAAAAGCCUCAACAAAAUACUAGCAAACUGAAUUCAAUGGCACAUUAAAGGGAUUAUACACCAUGACCAUAUGAGACUUAUCCCAGAGAUGUAAGGAUGGCUUAAUGUCGAAAAAGCAAGUAAUUUAAUAUACUACAUUGACAUAAUAAAAAAUAAAAUCACAUCAUCAUUUUAAUAGAUGCAGGAAAGGCAUGUGACAAAAUUUGACAUUGUUUCAUGAAAAAAACUGUCAACAUACUAGGUAUAGGAGGAAUCUACUUCAACAUUAUAAAGGUCAUAUAUAAAAAGUCCAUAGCUCACAUUAUACUCAAUGGUGAAAAACUGAAAGCUUUUCCUCUAAGAUGAGAAACAUGGCAAGGAUGCCCACUCUUGCCAGUUCUAUUCAACAUAGCACUAGAAGUCCUAGCCAGAGAAAUUAGACAAGAAAAAAUAAACAUAAAGAUUCAAACUGGAAAGGAAGAAGUAAAAUUAUUCCUAUUUGCAGAUGACAUUAUGUUAUAUAGAGAAAACUUUAAAGACUCAAUUUUAAAAAAAAAACUGUUAGAAUAAGCAGUUAAUAAUAAUAAAUAAAUUCAGUAAAGUUGCAGUUAACAUACAAAACUUAGUAGUAUUCCUAUAUACCAACAACAAAAUAAAUUGUUAGAAUAAACAGUUAACAGUAAUAAAUUCAGUAAAGUUGUAGUCAACAUACAAAACUUAAUAGCAUUCUGAUACACUAACAACAAAUAUCUGAAAAGAAAUUUAAGAAAACAAUUUCACUCAUAAUAGUGUCAAAAAGAAUAAAAUACAUAAAGAUAAACUUAACUACAAGGUGGAAAACUUAUACUGAAAACUACAAAAUAUUGAUGAAAGAAAACUAAACAAGACACAAACAACUGGAAAGCACUCCAUGUUUAUGGAUUAGAAGAGUUAAUAUUGUUAAAAUAUUCAUACUACCCAAGGCAAACUACACAUUCAAUGCACUCC